CCUACGGGGAGCAGCAGUGAGGAAUAUUGGGCAAUGGGAGAGAUCCUGAACAAGCCAAGCCGCGUGAGGGAAGACGGCCCUAUGGGUUGUAAACCUCUUUUGUCGGAGCACAAAACCCGGGACGUGUCCCGUACUGCGUGUAUCCGAAGAAAAAGCAUCGGCUAACUACGUGCCAGCAGCCGCGGUAAUACGGAGGAGGCGAGCGUUAUCCGGAUUUAUUGGGUUUAAAGGGUUCGUAGGCGGUCCGUUAAGUCAGCGGUAAAAUUGCGGGGCUCAACCCCGUCGAGCCGUUGAAACUGGCAGACGUGAGGGAGCGAGAAGUACGCGGAAUGCGCGGUGUAGCGGUGAAAUGCAUAGAUAUCGCGCAGAACUCCGAUUGCGAAGGCAGCGUACCGGCGCCAGACUGACGCUGAGGCACGAAAGCGUGGGGAUCGAACAGGAUUAGAUACCCUAGUAGUC
rnacentral:rRNA from 1 species